GCAGCGGAGGAGCUGUGUCUGGGGGUGCCUGGCGCCCGUUACGAAUGCCAGCCCCGCUCCCACAGCCCCACACGGAGCCCCCCGCGCUCCCUCCGGCCCCGGGGGGGGUGGUUGCCCCAGGCCUGCCAGGGCGAUUCCCUGGUCCUUCACUGAAACGGCAAGAAGCAGAAGAGUUUUUUCCAGCAGCAUGAAUGAAAAAAGGCCCCUUUUUCCCCAGGGCAGCAUUGGAGGAGGCGGCAGCGGGCGCUGGCUCCGGAGGGUGUGGGGAAGCGGCCGCGGUUCGGGGACCUCCCUGGCCAUGCACCAUGGCAGACUGUGCAACCCUGCCUGCAGCCAGCCAUCUCUCAUCCCUGUCUAUGCUGAGUUUGACCAGAGGAGAGGUCAACCAUCCUGGAACCCGCCAGAAACAUGAGAAAACCCGCUGGAAACAGUGAGCUUUGUUGCAGUAUGAAAAUCAGAUGCAAAGCUCGGUGGGUAUUUUUAGCUGUUUAAGGCUGAACAGGUGUUUGAAAGGUCAGAUGCGAGUCAUUGGAAGAAAAAAAUAAAUAUAUAUAGAGAGGGAGAGCACCUAGCAGUGUGGCGUUGUCAACCAACCACGGAGCUCAUUGUUGACUGGUUGCUCAUCAUUCCUGAGGCACGUGGGUGUUAAGGGAUGUGGGAACAUCCCGGAUUGGGUCCUCAACAGUGUGUGCACAAGACAGUCAUGAGUGAGGGGAUGAGCGUAGAAUGGCUUCCUUCCAUUGGCCAUGGGCUCUGUGUCAGUGAGGCCUUUGGGUAGCUUUUUCAUGAGCAAAUUUAUGACUUUUUUUCUUUUUCAAAGAAUAAAGGAAGUUUAUCAUCCUUAAAACAAAAUCACAUGUGGUUUUAAUUAGUUACUGAAGUAAAAAUUUAAGACCACAGAAAGAAAGGGCCUAUCUUUUGAGGAGGACCCAGAUGCUAUAUCUUUGGUGGACCUGAGCCAUGACCACCUUGGACUUGGCCAUGGCCAAUCUGGACAAUGGCCCACCUGAACCUCACUAUGGCCAACCUAGGCCAUGACCAACUUGAGCCAUGAUCACCUUUGCUCUUGGCCAUGGCUGCCAAGCUGGGCCAUGACCACCUGUCAUUUUGCUCAUGGCCAACCUGGGCCAUGACCUCCUUUGACUUGACCAUGGCCAACCUAGACAUGGCCAGGUGCCCAGAGGCGAGAUCUCAUCAGCACUCUGCAUGGCUGCAUGUUGCCAGUGAGGCAGUGUUUCUCUUCCCUGUUGUCUCGCCCAGGUCAUUGAGUUCAUGCAGAUGAUGAGCUCCUUCCAACAUGAGUCACAGCAAAGAUAAAUGGAGAGUAUGAGACGUGACGACUUCCCUGCAUGGGCCAGUGGGCUCCCAAAUGCCAGCAGGACCCAAAUGCCAUGGGUGGAGCAGGGCUGGCAGAUGCCAGAGACUUGGCUGGGCAAUAGAGCCUUUUUUUUUUUUGAGUUAAAGAAGCCCCCAUAAUAGCAUCUGAAACCAAUAAACUUCCCUUUCAGGAACUUCUGUAAUU